rnacentral:rRNA from 1 species
CACGUGUAGCGGUGAAAUGCGUAGAGAUGUGGAGGAACACCAGUGGCGAAGGCGACUCUCUGGUCUGUAACUGACGCUGAGGAGCGAAAGCGUGGGGAGCGAACAGGAUUAGAUACCCUGGUAGUCCACGCCGUAAACGAUGAGUGCUAAGUGUUAGGGGGUUUCCGCCCCUUAGUGCUGCAGCUAACGCAUUAAGCACUCCGCCUGGGGAGUACGGUCGCAAGACUGAAACUCAAAGGAAUUGACGGGGGCCCGCACAAGCGGUGGAGCAUGUGGUUUAAUUCGAAGCAACGCGAAGAACCUUACCAGGUCUUGACAUCCUCUGACAAUCCUAGAGAUAGGACGUCCCCUUCGGGGGCAGAGUGACAGGUGGUGCAUGGUUGUCGUCAGCUCGUGUCGUGAGAUGUUGGGUUAAGUCCCGCAACGAGCGCAACCCUUGAUCUUAGUUGCCAGCAUUCAGUUGGGCACUCUAAGGUGACUGCCGGUGACAAACCGGAGGAAGGUGGGGAUGACGUCAAAUCAUCAUGCCCCUUAUGACCUGGGCUACACACGUGCUACAAUGGACAG